rnacentral:rRNA from 1 species
AGACGUAGGGGGCUAGCGUUGUCCGGAAUUACUGGGCGUAAAGGGCGUGUAGGCGGUCUGGCAAGUCAGUGGUGAAAAACCUGGGCUUAACCGAGGUAUUGCCAUUGAAACUGUUAGGCUUGAGGGUAGAAGAGGAGUGUGGAAUUCCCGGUGUAGCGGUGAAAUGCGUAGAGAUCGGGAGGAACACCAGUGGCGAAGGCGGCACUCUGGUCUACACCUGACGCUGAGGCGCGAAAGCUAGGGUAGCAAACAGGAUUAGAUACCCUGGUAGUCCUAGCCGUAAACGAUGGGUACUAGGUGUAGGAGGUUUAGAUACCUUCUGUGCCGGAGCUAACGCAUUAAGUACCCCGCCUGGGGAGUACGGUCGCAAGGCUAAA